CCCUUAGAUGUUCUGGGCCGCACGCGCGCUACACUGAUGAAUUCAACGAGUUUAUAACCUUGGCCGGAAGGUCUGGGUAAUCUUUUAAACGUUCAUCGUGAUGGGGAUAGAUUAUUGCAAUUAUUAAUCUUCAACGAGGAAUUCCUAGUAAACGCAAGUCAUCAGCUUGCAUUGAUUACGUCCCUGCCCUUUGUACACACCGCCCGUCGCACCUACCGAUUGAAUGGUCCGGUGAAUUCUUCGGAUUGUGAUAAUGAAUUGUUUUCGGAUAAGACGUUAUUAUAAAAAGUUGAUUAAACCUUACCAUUUAGAGGAAGGUGAAGUCGUAACA
rnacentral:rRNA from 1 species